rnacentral:ncRNA from 1 species
GGGUUGCUGAAUUAGAGAUCGGCGCCUGUUUUAAUUUAUCUAUAUAUAUUUGGAGUUGUAUCAUGUCUCUAAGUGUUGAAGCGAAAGCUAAAAUUGUUGCUGACUUCGGUCGCGGUG